AACGAACGCUGGCGGCAUGCCUAACACAUGCAAGUCGAACGCGACCUUCGGGUCUUUGGGCGCACGGGUGCGUCACGCGUGGGAACCUUCCCGUGGGUUCGGUCUACCUCCCCGCGGGGGGCGCUAAUACCGGAUGAUGUCUUCGGACCAAAGAUUUCUUGCCUUGGGAUGGGCCCGCGUUGGAUUAGCGAGGUGGUAGGGUAAAGGCCUACCAAGGCGACGUUCCAUAGCUGGUCGGAGAGGAUGACCAGCCACCCUGGGACUGCGACACGGCCCAGACUCCUAGGGAAGGCAGCAGUUGGGAAUAUUGGACGAUGGGCGAAAGCCUGAUCCAUCAAUGCCGCGUGAGUGAGGAAGGACUUAGGGUUGUAAAGCUGUGUUACCCGGGAUGAUAAUGACGGUACCGGGAGAAUAAGCUCCGGCUAACUCCGUG
rnacentral:rRNA from 1 species